rnacentral:lncRNA from 10 species
GCUCACUUGUAGCCUCACUCCACAGCCCCAGUGAGAAGAAUGCACGCCUGAGAGUGUCAGCAUCACAGACGUGGUGCAGGAGGGCUCUGCUCUGUGGCUUUUGUGGAAGGUCAGCCCUGCCCCUGACUGCACAGGCAAGCCACCAUGCUGUGAGGAAGCCCAAGCCACACAGAGAGGCCACGGGCAGCUGUUCUGGCUGAUGAUUCCCCAUUAGGGGAAUCAGCACCAGCCACCAGACAUGUGAAUGAGGAGACUGUCCAUAUGCCUCCAACCCCAGACUGCAACUUCAUGAAAGACCCUGCGUGAGAAGCACUCAGCUGAGGCCUGCCAGCCCCCAGAGCUGUGAGAGGAAACCUAUGGCCUGCAUCAAUGAAAUAGCCAAGAUCAACCAGAAAAAGAAUAUUGGUCUCCCAUCUGCAAGACUGGGGAAAAAAUUAGAAGACUGAGGGGAUGAGGAAGGAAAGAAAACAGCCUAAUGGAGAAGAUCCUCAAACCUCAGACCUGGAAGUGAGCCUGGGGCUUCCCUAGUCUACCCCUGCAUUGCACAGAUGGGGAGACUGAGGCCCUAAGAGGCGGAAGAACUGACUCAAGCUCACUCUGUGAGUUGAGGGUGGAACUGGAACUGAACUCAGACCCACACCUCCUGGCAAAGUGCUCAAUGCCCUCUGCCCGCGCAGCCCUCCUGCUCUCCUAACAAGCUAGAGACACUAAAAGCUGCCUCUCCAGGAGAAUCGCUUGAAUCCGGGAGGCAGAGGUUGCAGUGAGCCAAGAUCGUGCCACUGCACUUCAGCCUGGCGACAGAGCAAGACUCCGUUUCAAAAUACAUACAUACAUACAUGCAUACAUACAUACAUACAUACAUACAUACAUACAUACAUACAAAAGCUGCCUCUCUAACCCCCAGACAUUUUGAAUUCAUGUUUUUGCCACAAAGUGUUCUUGGAAUCAAAGAAUCAAUUCAUUAAUCUGGGUAAUUAGUUUAGGAACCAGAGGGCUUGGAGACUGUGCUGUGAGAACAAUUCCAAGCUCAGUCUCUACACUGAAAAACCUAACUACCUCUGACCUGUGUCCACAGGUGACACCUCAGCCUCAGCCAGGAAAAAGCUGGAGGCUCUGCACACGCCUCCCCCAUCCCGCCCUCCCCAGUUCUUACCCCCAGAGGGACAUAUGGCUCAGGACAGGUAUCCUGUGGGCAGUGGGGCAGGGACACCCUCCUCCUGUUCCUCUCCUGUAUUUUACAAAUGGCAACAUGGAGCACAGAGAAAUAAUCUGUUCAUGGCCAUCCCACAAGCUAAUGACUAAAAAUUCUAGUCCUCUGUAUUAGUUUGUUAUCACGCUGCUGAUAAAGACAUACCCGAGACUGGGCAAUUUACAGAAGAGGUUUAAUCGACUUUCAGUUCCACCUGGCUGGGGAGGCCUCACAAUCGUGGCAGAAGGUAAAAGGCAGUCUCACAUGGCAGCAGACAAGAGAAGAGAGCUUGUGCAGGGAAACUCCCCUUUAUAAAACCAUCAGAUCUCAUGAGACUUACUCACUAUGAUGAGAAUAGCAUGGGAAAGCCCCGCCCCCAUGAUUCAAUUACCUCCCACCGGGUCCCUCCCAUAGCACGUGGGAAUUCAAGAUGAGUUUUGGGUGGGGACACAGCCAAACCAUAUCCUCUAUUUCUCAUUUCAAUGUUUUUCUUUCUUAUUUCAAUGUUUUUCUUUCUUUCUUUUUUUUCUUUCUUUUUUUUUUUUUAACAUUCAUUUCCAGUUGAUUCCAGCAGGGCAGCCCAGCACUUAGACAAGUCUACCCUGAAAGUGUCUGAAAGUGCUCAAAGUUUUCUUACUGAGUGUUAGUGGCCAGAUGGAAGGUAGGCAGGCUUGGGAGGCUCAGUGAAGUAUCAUCUAGCUACGCCAAAGCUUACGUUAGAGGAGAAGUAUUUAAGUAUGGGUUUGAGGCCUCAUGCUUCAAAAGAAUCACACAGAGAAAUAUUGUGGGCCUCUGGGAGAAAUUUGAGCCUUGGCUGGCUGCAAAGCUGCAUAAACAGUGGUGAUGACUGUGGUUAAUCCAAACCCCACUCCGAGCUCUGCAGAGUCAGUUCUGCCUAUGGCUCAUGAAAUCCCCACUCAUUACUGAACCCUUUUAGGGAGGAAGAAACUGACACAAGUAGCAGAGGCAGAAAGCCACCCUGGUCACAUCAUGCAACUGCUGGGAGAUGCCCUGUGUCAUAAAAGGUCACAUUUCUAAACGGCUAAUGCUAACCCCAGAUGCCAAAGCUGGGCAGAAGCAGGUUUGCAGAGCUCUCUAGAAUACGUGUUCUUGUGAGCUUCAAUGGCCCGGUUUUCUGCAAUUCAGGGCAGAUGACUCCAUGUCUGGGUUGCCCAUCCAUCAGCAAAGAUUUAUCAAGCUGGGCUAGUGUUAGGUGGUUUGGUAUAUAAAAAGAUUUAGAAACAUGUCCCAUCCCUCCAGGAGUUUGGUCUAGCCAAGGUAGUAAGACAAACUCACACCCAGAUACUGAAUAAAACCAGCCGGAUGUGCUCUUGCCCAGCAGCAGGCGUGGACUCUGCCCGCACAGGGAAUGUGAAUGGUGCCCUCUGCAGUUGUGCACCACCAUGGCCCAGGCUGGGGAGCUCAGAGGAAGAGCAGAUCCCAGUGGGCUGGGCUGGGCAGGGCAGGGCAAGGAGGGUGGCUGUUCUAUGCCCACAUCCCUCUUCUUCCUUUCUCAGGUGGCAGUCACUGGCUGAGUUUUCUAGCCAAUGGCAGAGGGCAUGAGACCCAGGGACAGGCCUGGUGAAGGGCUGGAUAAAGGAGCAUCACAGGGGAGGCCCACUGACCUGGCCACGCUUCCUAUUCAUGCCAAGUCCCAUGGGGCGUUCUGUAGCAUCGCUGCACCCCAGCCAGCCAGUCUUCAGCCUUCUGUCCCUCUGUCCCUCUGUGCCCCUUGAAUGGGGCCCAUCGUAGGUUGACUGGGCUAGCUCUUUGCCCCGCUUGUUGAUGCCACUUGUCAUUUCCCAUUUUUCCAAUCAAUCAUGUGAUGUGAAGGGCAAAAGGAAAGUGCCAGCUUUCCCAAAUGCCUCCCCUGAUGCCUUUCCAGAGGGAACUGUGAGAAGUAAAUGUUGUUUAUUAGUCACCGGGUCUAUUGUAUUCCACUAUAGAAACCCACAUGGACUAAAACAUCAGUCCAGCUUCCCUGGAUGGUUUCCCGGAAUCCACCUCCCAUCUCAUGAGAUGGCAAUGGCUAUCACAGCUCGGAGGAAUCUGACUCCACUUUCACUAUGAAAGUUUUGUCAUGUUGAGCUUUUAUGAAGUUACAUUUACUUCUUGGAUUAACUUAGAAACAGCCAAAUUAUACCCAUUUCUUGGAGUCUAUAGCUGUGUUUUAGUUUGCCCUUCUUUUAAAGGAAAGUCUAGAAUCCAAUGCUAAUAAAUACUUUGAUUAAAAUGUACUCCUUUUAAUGAGAUCAUGUCCUUUGCAGGGACAGAGAUGGAACUGGAAGCCAUUAUCCUCAGCAAAUUAACACAGGAACAGAAAGCCAAACACAGCAUGUUCUCACUUAAAGUGGGAGCUAAGCAAUGAGAACACAUGGACACAGGGAGGAAACAACACACACUGGGGCCUGUUGGGGGCGGGGGGCAUUGCGGGGAGGGAGAGCAUCAGGAAGAAUAGCUAACGGAUGAUGGGCUUAAUACCUAGGCGAUGGGUUGAUCUGUGCAGCAAACCACCACGGCACACAUUGACCUAUGUAACAAACCUGCACAUCCUGCACACGUACCCCAGAACUUACAAUAAAAGUUGAAGACAAAAAAAAAACCUAUACUCUUUUUAAGCUACACAAAAGGAAAGGAACAGAUCUUCCUCACACCCCUCAAAAGAAAUGAACUCGACAAACACCUUCAUCAGGAAGGUUGCCAGAACUAUGAGAUAAUCCAUUUCUUGUUUAAGCCACCCAGUUUGUGGUCUUUUGCUAUGGUAGCCCUAGCAAAACAAUGCAGAUGGUUUCUCUUUUUAAAUUGUGUAGCCAAUAUCUUUUUGCUCCUCCUCUGAAAUAAACCAGGUUCCAGGAGGACUUGGGUGCCACCAGGUCUGCUCACCGAAAUCCAUUGACAAGAUGCCACACAUUUCCACUACAUGGUGAAGAAACUGAGAUUCAGACAAGGAGCUUUUUGUUAAGCAAAUACUAAUUAGCCAAUAAUCUAAAUGGAAGUUAAUGGAGAAUUGUUUAAACUCAGUGCUAUGGUCUGAAUGUUUGUGUCCCUCCCAAAUUAAAAUUAAAAUUCUAACCCCAAGGUGAUGGUAUUAGGAGGUGGAUCCUUUGGGAGGUGAUUAUAUCAUGAGGGUGGAACCCUCAUGAAUGGGAUUAGUGCCCUUAUAUAAAAACCCCCUCACCCCUUCAACUAUGUGAGGACACAGCAAGAAGAUGCCAUCUGUGAACUGGAAAGCAGGCCCUGAUCAGACUCCAAAUCUACUGACACCUUGAUCUUGGACUUCCCAGUCUCCAGAACCAUGAGAAAUAAAUUUCUGCUGUUUAUAAGCUGCUCGGUUUAUCGUAAUUUGUUAUAGCAGCCUGAAUGGACUUAACACCUAUGGUAUUAAGAAUUUUGAGGCCAGGCAUGGUGGCUCAUGCCUGUAAUCCCAGCAUCUUGGGAGGCUGAGGUGGGUGGAUCAAUUGAGAUCAGGAGUUCGAGACCAGCCUGGGCAACAUAGUGAGACAUCGUCUCUAUUUUAAUUUUUUUUAAUGAAAAGAAAAAAGAAUUUGAAAAUCCUAAAUCUGCUUUUCGCCUCUAUUAAAAAAUCUUCAGGUGGCAGCUCUUAGUAUCCUAGAGUCACAUUCUGAAUAUUUGUAACCAUUGUCCACAAGGGCAGUCAGAAGGCUCAAGUUAGUGGUUUCUAAACUUACUUUUUGGUCUAAAACCUCUUCAUACUCUUAAAAAUUAUAGAGGACAAUGAAGAGCUUUUGUUUAUCUAAGGUAACUACUGAUAUAUCCUUUACUAGAAAGGAAAAUAGAGACAAUUUAAAAAUAUUUCUAAAUUGAUUUUAAAAUGACAACAAUAAGUCCAUUAUUGGUUAAUAUAGACAACAUAUUUUUAUAAAAAAUAACUACAUUUUUCAAAAUAUAAAAAAAGCUUGCAAGAAGAGUGGCAUUAUUUAAUAUUUUGCAAAUCUGCUUAAUGUUUUGCUUGAUAGAAUAGAUAGAAUAAAUGUGGAUAAAACAGAAUAGAUAGAAUAGAUACAUGUGGAUUCUCAUAUCUGCUUCUGAACUCAAUCUGUUGCGAUAUGUUUUUUGUUGAAAUAUAAGAAGAAAAUCCAGUCUUAUAGAUACGUAGUUGGAAAAGUGAGGAGUAUUUUAUGAGCCUUUUUAGAUAAUUGUGGCUAUUCUUUUUUGAUUCUAUACGAAAACAUAGUCAAUGGUAAUUCCUUAAAAGGUCAGUUGCAGUGUGGAAUCUGAAAC